rnacentral:lncRNA from 10 species
CUUUGACGGUGGCAUCAUUGGCAAUAAUCAUGCAUUCUACUCUGAAAGGCAGAAAUUUCAUUGGAGAGAGAAUUUAAGAGAUUUCUUCAAAACUAAUUACACUCAUUACAAGAUACCCCAAUACAACCUUCAACUUCUAGUACGUAUCACUAUUAACAUCCAUUAGCAGACAGCAGUCUUAGGAUAUAAAUGCAAACUUUAAUCACAGUUCACAUAUUAAUUUAUAUAAUACAAAACAAUUACUUCUAACAAGUUUAUAAACUCACACUUGGUUUUUGAAAAGUCAUCAGUCCUAGAUUAGUAAUAAAAAACUAACAACCUAAGCCUUGUGUCAUAAUGGUUCUUUGAAUGAAAAGGUCCUAAUAAGAUGAAAAUAAUAAUGAAAAAAAAAAUCCAAGUCUCAAGGGAAAAGAAUUCCCUCAUAAUAAACCUUCAAAGUCUCCUUUUAGGAGGGUAUUUUGCAAAAAUGAAAACUGACCUUUAGUACUAAGAUUUAUUUUUUGUAUUCUUGUUCUUCAACAUUACAGCCCCAUGGUUUUCUACAAAACUAAAUGUAGUCUAAAAUAUAACGUUCAUCUUAACUGAAGUCAGAAUGAAUGCAAACUUUAAUAUACUAAAAACACAUGAAAGGUAUCCUGAGUCAUCAACAGUGCCCUUUCUCACCAAAACCAGUUUAUUGGGUAUGAGUCACAAAGAGCAGGGCGGCCAACAACCACAGCUGGUUGGGGAAACUGUACAGCACUGGCAGGAAACCUUAAGGUCAGAGGUACCCUUGAAAUCUGAGAUGACAACAGUGUGCUCUUUACAAAAUUCAAUUUUCUUUAUGUUUCUGAUGUUUGUGUUACCUCACUUUAUGCUGCCUACAACUCUAAAGAGUGAGUCAUUAAAUCCCUGCUGAAAAUAGAGAACGGCAACUGAACACCCAGCACAGGGUAGUGUUGAGCUUCUCAUACUAGGAUAUGUGGCCAGCAGGGCUCGCCACAAGACAAACAGGACUCUUCUUUGAGCAUCAAUUUUAUUCCCUAGGUCAUAUAAAACCUUUUUCUGCACUGCAAUGAACAUUUUAUAGAGUAGAAUGCAAACUUUUAAUGAUUUAACAUUAAACGAACUAGACUUCAAAGGAAAUGUAGGCUUCUCAUAGGUUGCUGGGCCAUAACCUCACACUCCAGAGUGUGUGCUCAUACUUCCUACCACUGGGGGUGCUACGCUAGAAAGUUUAAGAAGCUCUGGUACUGGAAAGAGGCCAGGCUGUGAAGUCAGACAAAGUUAGACUGAAAUUCUGGCUCUGCCAACUUGUUAGUUAUGUGACCAUGGACAAGGGACAUAGCCAUAUCUGCUUGUCUAUUAAAGGUCACAGACUUGUUACAGAAUGAGAAAUCAAAUUGGCCCACAAAAAUACUAGAUUGCAUUUCUAUUGGUUUUGCCUACCCAGCAUCUAUUAUUUUGGCAACAAAACUAAACCUUCUUUCAGAAACUGCCUCUUAUCUUUAAUCCAGGUGGCUCAAGUAGGACUGACCCCAGAGCCUGCCUUAAAGGGGGGCACAGGGACCAGGUCUUUCUACCCAGAGUUCCCACUGAGGCUCGGCAAUGGGACAGGCUCUAAGCCUAAGCAGAUCUUGCCUUCCACUGCAGCUGCUAAACUUAUAGAAUAUAAACCAGGAACUGCCUAUGACCAUCACUGCCUCUGGAUUUAGAGAGGCUGCCUAGAAACAAAGCUGACACACAGCAAGUCAGGGCCAGGAGUAGAAAACAGCCUGGGACCUAGUAAUACCUAAGACCAUUUGAGCUCCCAGAUACAGCCAUGCCCAGACUCACCAGAUAAGAGAAUCAAUAUAUCCUCUUUUUUGCUUAAUUUGAGCAAAUUCAGCUCAUCUGUCAUUUGUCAGAGAAAGAGUAGUGAUGAUAUAAACCAUUCAACAAUUUUUAUGUAAGAAAGGUCAAUUUGAAUUAUAAUAAAGGCCAGAGCAAUGGCUCAUGCUUGUGAUCCCAGCACUUUGGGAGGCCAAGGCAGGAAGAUCAUUUGAUGCCAGGAGUUUGAGGCUACAGUAAGCUAUGAUCAUGUCACUGCACUCCAGCCUGGGCAACAGAGUAAGACCCCAACUCAAAAAAAAAAAAUUAUAAUGAUGUGCUAGCCUAUAUUCAACAUCGUUUGAGCCCAGAAGUUCGAGAUUAGCCUAGGCAACAGAGCGAGACACCAUCUCUAAAAAAAACAAAAAAGGAAAAAAGAAAGAAUUUAUAAUUAAGUACUACUUUAUACCUAUUAAAUGACUGAAUUUUUUUCAGCCAUAAUAUCCAGUACUAGAGCAUCUCUAGUUAAAAGAUAAAGACUGGUCUCCUUCCUUGCCCUUGUCUCCAUGGAAAGACAUCUUUUUGUUUUUUUUUUGAGACGGAGUCUUGCUCUGUCACCAGGAUGGAGUGCAGUGGCUCCAUCUCAGCUCACUGCAACUUCUGCCUCCCAGGUUCAAGCGAUUCUCCUGCCUCAGCCUCCCAAGUAGCUGGGACUACAGGCGUGUGCCACCAUGCCGGCUUAUUUUUUUAUUUUUAGUAGAGACAGGGUUUCACCACAUUGGCCAGCCUGAUCUCAAACUCCUGACCUCAGGUGAUCCACCCACCUCAGCCUCCCAAAGUGCUGGGAUUACAGGCGUGAGCCACCACACCCAGCCAGUCCUACAUAAUAUAAAUAGCAUACAAAUCGCAUGCUAAUAUGCAAAGUGAGUGCUGGAUGCCUGUGCCUCAUCAAAGUCUUCUUCUCAACCCACAUUAUGAAGCACAAGUAGAAUACUCACCCUGAUACUCUUCCAAUGCCUGUAAUAAUGCCACCUCCUG